rnacentral:rRNA from 1 species
GACGAACGCUGGCGGUGUGCUUCACACAUGCAAGUCGAACGAGGUAGCAAUACCUAGUGGCGGACGGGUGAGUAACGCGUGGGAAUCUGCCUUUAGAUGGGGGGAUAACGGGUCGAAAGACUCGCUAAUACCGCAUAUGACGAAAGUUGAAAGGAGUAAUCCGUCUAAAGAUGAGCCCGNGUUCCGAUUAGCUAGUUGGUAGAGUAAAAGCCUACCAAGGCGACGAUCGGUAGCUGGUCUGAGAGGAUGAUCAGCACAAUAGGGAACUGAGACACGGCCCAUACUCCUACAGGAGGCAGCAGUGGGAAUUUUACGCAAUGGGCGAAAGCCUGACGUAGCGACACCGCGUGAGCGAAGAAGGCCCCUUGGGGUGUAAAGCUCUGUCAGCUGGACGAAAAAAAUGACGGUACCAGCAGAGGAAGCAUCGGCUAACUACGUG